AACGAACGCUGGCGGCAGGCUUAAGACAUGCAAGUCGAGCGCACCCUUCGGGGUGAGCGGCGGACGGGUGAGUAACGCGUGGGAACGUGCCUUUCUCUAAGGAAUAGCCUCUGGAAACGGAGAGUAAUACCUUAUACGCCCUUCGGGGGAAAGAUUUAUCGGAGAGAGAUCGGCCCGCGUUAGAUUAGAUAGUUGGUGGGGUAACGGCCUACCAAGUCUACGAUCUAUAGCUGGUUUUAGAGGAUGAUCAGCAACACUGGGACUGAGACACGGCCCAGACUCCUACGGGAGGCAGCAGUGGGGAAUCUUAGACAAUGGGCGCAAGCCUGAUCUAGCCAUGCCGCGUGUGUGAUGAAGGCCCUAGGGUCGUAAAGCACUUUCGCCAGGGAUGAUAAUGACAGUACCUGGUAAAGAAACCCCGG
rnacentral:rRNA from 1 species